ACGAACGCUGGCGGCGUGCUUAACCCAUGUAAGUCGAACGGAAAGGCCCUGCUUUUGUGGGGUGCUCGAGUGGCGAACGGGUGAGUAACACGUGAGUAACCUGCCCUUGACUUUGGGAUAACUUCAGGAAACUGGGGCUAAUACCGGAUAGGAGCUCCUGCUGCAUGGUGGGGGUUGGAAAGUUUCGGCGGUUGGGGAUGGACUCGCGGCUUAUCAGCUUGUUGGUGGGGUAGUGGCUUACCAAGGCUUUGACGGGUAGCCGGCCUGAGAGGGUGACCGGCCACAUUGGGACUGAGAUACGGCCCAGACUCCUACGGGAGGCAGCAGUGGGGAAUAUUGCACAAUGGGCGGAAGCCUGAUGCAGCAACGCCGCGUGCGGGAUGACGGCCUUCGGGUUGUAAACCGCUUUCGCCUGUGACGAAGCGUGAGUGACGGUAAUGGGUAAAGAAGCACCGGCUAACUACGUG
rnacentral:rRNA from 1 species